rnacentral:tRNA from 1 species
GGCACUGUGGCUUAGUUGGUCAAAGCGCCUGUCUUGUAAACAGGAGAUCCUGGGUUC